GUGAUCUAUGGAUCAGCUCAGCUAUGACAGCAGCAUCACCAGCUUGGGAAUAACCUCCCCAAAUGAUGCAAUGCCAUCUUCUAAGAUGUUUGUUUCUUAGAGGGUCAACCAUGUUGAAAAGGACAGGACAGAAUCUCUGUAGUAAGGAAAAAUAUCUUUUGGUGAUGGAAACAGAGUGGUGUGAAUAGGACAACAGUAAAUCUGUCCCCAAGCCACUUUCCAACUGUAAAUCAUCAUUAUAUGGGAUUGACUUUCUGCUCAUGGUGACACUUUACCCGGUGAAGUGAGCGGAAGGAUUGGAAGUAAUUUCUACAAUAUCAGCCUCUUUGGUGUGAUUCAUUUCUGCUUUCAUCACAGCAAGUGGAAGGAAGAUACCCAGCAGGGGAAUACCUGGAUCAAAUAGAACUUCCAAUCCUAGUUUUUUGAGGAAUCUCCACACUGAUUUCCACAGUGGUUGCACCAGUCUACAGUCUCCAAUAGACUUGUGUCUUCACCCUGCUGCAUCGUGACUAGCACCUAUGGCUGGACAGCCAACAUGGAGUGGAUCAUGAAGGCCCAGGUCCUCCAUGACAGCUCUACCAUGGGUUACAUGAUGGUCAAGAAGCACCUGGAGAUCAGCCCUGACCACCUCAUUGUGGAGAUGCUGCAGCAGACGGCUGAAGCUGACAUGAAUGCGUUCUCUUUCACUGACAGUGACUCUAGGAAGACCAGAUAAUAGAAUCUGCAGCAGACAACUUCUUUGCUGGUACUUUGUUGGAAAGAUACUCCUAGGGAGACGAGCGAAGAACAAGGCAAUGGAACAAGAGAGAAGGGAGAGCUGACAUGGAUAAUCCACAGUGGCCGUCAGCAUGCGUGAAAACCAGAGGACCCAGUAACUACUUCAUCUAAGAAGCUGAGAAUCACAGAGCAAGAGAAGUCAGAGACACAGUUCUAGUAUGAGGCUGGAGGAUCGGAAGUUUCCUAAAGAACAGCUGGUGGAGUUUACAUCAGAAGGAUGAAGAACCUGC
ensembl:lncRNA